UCCUACGGGAGGCAGCAGUGGGGGAUAUUGCACAAUGGGGGGAACCCUGAUGCAGCGACGCCGCGUGGGUGAAGAAGCGCCUCGGCGCGUAAAGCUCUAUCAGCAGGGAAGAAGAAAGACGGUACCUGACUAAGAAGCCCCGGCUAACUACGUGCCAGCAGCCGCGGUAAUACGUAGGGGGCAAGCGUUAUCCGGAUUUACUGGGUGUAAAGGGAGCGUAGACGGCAUAGCAAGUCUGAAGUGAAAGCCCGUGGCUCAACCGCGGAACUGCUUUGGAAACUGUUAAGCUGGAGUACUGGAGAGGC
rnacentral:rRNA from 1 species